AUGCUCUCCCCAAAGAAGGCCACAAAUGGAUUCCCAGUUUCAGUGGCAACUAUGACACUAUCGGCGAGUCUCACAGAAACCAUCCCAUGUUAUCCGGUGGCCACCCGUAGUACUCUGUCUUGCCAGCUUGCUAGAUGGGAGAGAAGACUCCCUUUUCAGGUGUCUUGUGUUAUCGACUCCUGCUUCCAGAAAGUGAAAAGCAGAUGGGGAAAGGUUAUGGGAUGGCUAGCCAUCUCCGAAGAUGGACCCUGUUGGGAGAGAAUGAAGUAAGAUGUUUUCCCCGCUCUUCCUGAUGCUUUCCCUCACUUCCCUCCUGCCUGUCUGAGGAAGUCCCUACUCUCCAGGGCAGCAGAAAACAAACCUGCUCCCUCCUCCUUAUGACAUCCUUCCAAAUAUUUAAACAUGGUAUUUAGCAGCUCAAAUUGCAAACAAUUAGAAGAGCAUGGAUCGGACCUUGGAAAAACAUCUUAAUGGCAACUCGACCCCCAGAAUCCUCUUUCAGCAUGACCAUUAGCCAUAACAGCUGGUGGAUUCUUCCUGUUUUAGUUCCAAGCUUUGAUAUGGAUGAUUCUCAGCUUUGCUCCCUCUCUACCCAAGGAAAUAGACAGGACAAGAAAUGAAGACUUAGCUCCUCCUUUUCACGUUUAUUUCAUUUUUGUUUUUUGUGGGGUUUUUUAGACCACAGAAGAGCAGAGCAUUCAUAGAUGUAAAUAAACAGAGACACAGAAACAGAAGUUAAAUACAUUGAGAAAAGAAAAAAAAGAAAAGAAAAAAGCUUUUGUCAUUUUUUCUUUUACACACACACACUGCGCUUUAAAAUGUUCUUCCACAGAGCUAGUUUUUGAAAAACCGACAGAAAAAAAUAAAAUAAAAAUAGAAUGGCCGUGUUCUCGUUUCAUUAAAGAGAAGUUCAGAUCAUGUCUACGGUGCUGGGGAAAAAUAUAUAUAAAGAUAUAGAUAUAUAUAUAUAUUUAUAUGUAUAUAACACUGUUAAUGAGGAGAAUUCUAACUGCCCAGCAGUGCAGCAUGAAGAGACUGGAUGUCCUCCCAAAGGCCUGGAGGAGUCAAAUUGGCUGCAGCUGGUGAAAUAGAAAGGGUCAAGAGUUGCUGGAGAUGAGUUUGCCAUCCUCUCCCUAUUCUUGUCAACAUAACCCUUUCCUUGUUAACAGGAGCUCAUCACAAGCCACAAAACUUAUGACUUUUAUUAUAUAGCUAGUUUUAAAAGCAGAUUGAGUAAGUCUGUUGGGUUUCAUGUGUCAUGGGGGAAGCUGGAGAAGAUGAGUGUGGCAAAGGGGUGGGGUGCUGACAUUUGGAAAACAGCAGAAGAUACUGAGUGGCAACAUUUCAGGGUGCCUGUAUGUAAGUGCUUGUCUCUCUGUGACCAGGACUGGGAGCAAAUGACAUUUCAGAGAAAGUAAACAUUCUCAUUUGAAACAGCUUUUCAAUAAAAGCUUAUAGUUAGAUGGUUGUGCUCCUUGCAUAUACAGUAGAGUCUCACUUAUCCAAGCCUCGCUUAUCCAAGCUUCUGGAUUAUCCAAGCCAUUUUUUCAAUAUAUCAUGAUAUUUUGGUGCUAAAUUUGUAAAUACAGUAAUUACAACAUAACAUUACUGCAUAUUGAACUACUUUUCCUGUCAAAUUUGUUGUAUAUCAUGAUGUUUUGGCGCUUAAUUUGUAAAAUCAUAACCUAAUUUGAUGUUUAAUAGGCUUUUCCUUAAUCCCUCCUUAUUAUCCAAGAUAUUUGCUUAUCUAAGCUUCUGCCGGCCCGUUUAGCUUGGAUAAGUGAGACUCUACUGUAGUUACAUUUUAUGUAGGGUUGGAUCCAGACUAAAUCUAUUUCACUUAAGUCCUGUUGAAACAUUUUGGCUGAAUUUGUUAUAAUUUCAAUCCUAGUCCUACUGAUUUCAAUUUCAACAGUUACUAUGUGGAAUUGGCUUAAUCUGGCUCUAACCACGCAAAUCUAUUGAGAUAUCAGAAAUUACAGAAGCAACCAAGACAGAGAAUAUGUUUAUGUAUGAAACCAUUGGUUAGCACACAAGUCAGUUUCACAGAAGACAUUUGACAAAAUGACCGUUUACAUUUCCUUCAUCUCUUUGACAAUGUUCUCAUACUGAAUUGUAGUACUAAUUCAUUUGAUUACAUUAUUAAUUAUACCCCCCAGAGUUGUUCCCAGUGUACUUCAUGACAGCAAUGUACAUAACAUGGUAAGAUAGUAAUAGUUCUGGGCAUUUAGCAAUAUCACUACAUUUAAAGGAACGAUCAUUUUGAAUUCAAGUUUACCAUUUGUCGUACCAUCUUAAACCUGGGGGCAUAGAUUCUUCAGGAUCACUUAUGAAGUUUUCUCUCUGUGAUGCCUGAAGGAAUUCAUUUUAGGAAAGUAAUGGUAUUACAUUAUUUAAAGUAACUACUAGGUUCCAUAUUGUCACAGCUUUCUUUGCCUGCAUGAGAAACUGGUUUAGUUGACAACUUUGCCUUGGAUUGGCUGAUGCCACUUCUAAUCUAAUACCUUCCUGCUCUAUUACCUCCUACUAUUUCAUCCUCAAGAUUGGAGGUAGAGUGGUAGAUGCCUUUCACUAGUUCUGGUUUAUUUGCUAAGAUGAACAUCCACAGUAAUAACUAAGCAUUUAAAGAUUAUCACACAUUCCAUUAUGAUGAUUGUAUCCCUUGGUAAGUGUAGCUUUCUUAUAGAGACCACAGGCCCUCUUGGUAUUAAUAUAUCUGCUUUGCAGGAAGGGUGGAAGUGUGUCUUGAUGAAGCCUGCAAACAGAAGGCAUCUUACACAUCUCUAUAAAAAACACAGCACUGCACAUCCAUAUCCUCUUCCUCUACCUAUUGAUCAGCUUAUACAUGUGCACGCGAGGGAUUACAGGUCUUGCGUAGUUUUUUUUUAAAAAUU
ensembl:lncRNA